ACGCGGAGGAGAAGCUGUACCGGCGGGCACUGGCCGAGGAGGCGAAGAGGGCGCGGGGGUCGCCGUCGCCGUCGCCGGCUGCCGACGAGGAGGACGGCGGCGGGUACAUCACCAUCGUGGUGGGGAAGAACACCCGGGUCAUCCCCUUGCCCUCGCCUCCCGGCAGCGCCUGAAAAAAGGUGGCCUUUGUUAACUCGUCUGAUGCAGAUGCAGAGUCAGUGAGUCAGUCAGUGAUCUUUUUUUGAUCAUUCCAAUUGGAUGAUUGGAUGUACAUAACAUGAACAUGGCGAGGAACUCAGAACUUGGGAUCAAUCUUUUCUUCUACUAGUACUUCUAUUUGUGCUAUGUGACUUGUGACUUCAAGGUGCAAGUUAAUUACAGUACUGUGAUUUUGUUGUUGUAGGAGGCAAAACAUUUGCACUCUUAUGUUAUGUAUGAUGAACAUAAGUGGAGUAUCAUAUCAUCCCAGAUCAUUAGAAUAUCAUUCUUUUUAGGAAUUUCAUUAAUCUUAAUGUAAUGAACUGUGAGGACAUAUGCUCUCUUCCUCUUUUGAUGGGUUGUACGUAGUAGAAAAUACUACUCUAUAUUAUCUACUCAUCCAUGAGAACAAGAGGAAUGGAGAGAACAUUAUCUGAAGAGAAGCUCCAUGCCGACUUUGCCUGACAAUGAAACUUUUGACUUUAUACUAGUGUGUAAUACAAAUUCCUUGCAACUUCUGCCAAGCAUAUUUUGACCCCUUUCUACUCUCAUGC
rnacentral:lncRNA from 1 species